UACGGGGGGGGCAAGCGUUGUUCGGAAUUACUGGGCGUAAAGGGCUCGUAGGUGGCCAACUAAGUCAGACGUGAAAUCCCUCGGCUUAACUGGGGAACUGCGUCCGAUACUGAAUGGCUUGAGUUUGGGAGAGGGAUGCGGAAUUCCAGGUGUAGCGGUGAAAUGCGUAGAUAUCUGGAGGAACACCGGUGGCGAAGGCGGCAUCCUGGACCAACACUGACACUGAGGAGCGAAAGCCAGGGGAGCAAACGGG
rnacentral:rRNA from 1 species